rnacentral:rRNA from 1 species
AAUCUUCCGCAAUGGACGAAAGUCUGACGGAGCGAUGCCGCGUGAGUGAUGAAGGUCUUCGGAUCGUAAAACUCUGUUGUUAGGGAAGAACAAGUAUCGGAGUAAUAUGCCGGUACCUUGACGGUACCUAACCAGACAGCCCCGGCUAACUCCGUGCCAGCAGCCGCGGUAAAACCUAGUGGGCAAGCUUUGUCCGGAAUUAUUGGGCGUAAAGAGCACGCAGGCGGUCAUUUAAGUCUGAUGUGAACACUUGUGGCUUAACCACAAGCGGUCAUUGGAAACUGGAUAACUUGAGUACAGAAGAGGAGAGUGGAAUUCCACGUGUAGCGGUGAAAUGCGUAGAGAUGUGGAGGAACACCAGUGGCGAAGGCGGCUCUCUGGUCUGUAACUGACGCUGAGGUGCGAAAGCGUGGGUAGCGAACA